UUUUCCCGCCCAAAGGAGGAAAAGAGUGAAAAGGUCUUCCGGUUCGUAAAACUCUGUUGUAAGGGAAGAACAAGUACAGUAGUAACUGGCUGUACCUUGACGGUACCUUAUUAGAAAGCCACGGCUAACUACGUGCCAGCAGCCGCGGUAAUACGUAGGUGGCAAGCGUUGUCCGGAAUUAUUGGGCGUAAAGCGCGCGCAGGUGGUUUCUUAAGUCUGAUGUGAAAGCCCACGGCUCAACCGUGGAGGGUCAUUGGAAACUGGGAGACUUGAGUGCAGAA
rnacentral:rRNA from 1 species